rnacentral:snoRNA from 1 species
GUGAAUGAUGAAGGCUGGUAUUAACGACAUAAUGAGUUAAGACACCAAUACUGA